AGAAGUUGGAGAGGACAUGACUUCUGUGAGCUAAAUGAUAACGUCUUCAAUGAAGGAAGAGGGAAGGGCUGGUAAGUAGGUCUAUAAAUGACUGCUAUUUUGAAGGGAGUGAGCUAUAGCAAGAUGAGCUCAAAAGAACAAGGCAUUUCACUGAGCAUGCCUCUCCCACGUGGAAAGACCAAAUAGUGAGUGGAGAUUCACAGUGUAAACUUUUUUCCAGGAAGCAAUGCACAAACUUAACAGGAAACCAUAAAGAAACUACAGGCCCUUUGAAAGAAGUGGCAGGCUGCAGCCUAUACUAUGAGCCAAGUGAAAAACUUUAGGUCCCCAGAGUGUGAGAGUGGCAGAGACUGCCUCCAGGAUACAUUAAAACAUCCCCACUGGGGAACCUGGUAAUCCAGCCCAUGGGGGAAGGCCUUAAACCUACGCAGGGACUGAUAUAGGCAGUCAUGGGGAAUAUAAAAGUAGGAGCAGCGGCCGGGCGUGGUGGCUCACGCCUGUAAUCCCAGCACUUUGGGAGGCUGAGAUGGGCAGAUCACGAGGUCAGGAGUUCGAGACCAGCCUGGCCAAUAUGGGAAACCCCGUCUUUACUAAAAAUACAAAAAUUAGCUGGGCAUGGUGAUGCACGCCUGUAGUCCCAGCUACUCAGCAGGCUGAGGCAGAAGAAUCGCUUGAACCCAGGAGGCAGAGGUUGCAGUGCGCAAAGGUUGCGCCACUCCAGCCUGGGUGAGAAAGCAAAACUCCGUCUCAAAAAAAAAAAAAAAAAAAAAGUAGCAGCAGCAGCUAGAAGAGACUUGCACACAUCUGCAGUCUCCAGUGUGGGCUGAGGGAACUCAUUCCUGAUUUUAUGUCACAGGGGACCUCGUGGAUGUCUGCCAACUAACUCAGGCAGUGGUGGCAGGUUCAAAGAAGCUCCCAUUGAAAUUCAUGAUAUUAUCUCAAGUAAGAAAAAACUUCCUUGGCCAGAACCAGCAUGCGAGCGGGAAGUGUGCUGCAGCCACAGGCACAGAAACUAGGCGCCCAGCUUUGCAAGUAGAAGGGGAGGGGCAUAUCCUGAAAGCUGAGGUUCCUGUCUCCAAGAGGAAGGCUUAUGGCUUGGGGCACUUUUGAAUUCUAGAGUAGAUGAGAGUAGACUGCCUAGAAUUUAGCUAGUUGCUGCUAGAAAACACUGUGGGUGAGAUUCCUGCCUUGCCAAGUGCAUGAAAGCUGGGUGAGGCUUACUGCCACCUGCUACUCCACAACCCCCGCACAAACUCUUCUGUGCAGCAGAAGCAGUUAUACUCUUUCCAGGAAAAGUAUCACAGUGGCCAGAAAACUGCCUCCCCAUGCACACAGAUCCCAACAGGGUCUUCUGGUUACCUUGCAAGUGUAGAGCCAGAGUUCAGACCUGCCUGACUCAGCAUCCACCUGGCUUUGCCACUCCAACCACCUUAGUAGCUUAACACAAAAGAUGGAAACUUUUGGGAGCUCUAUAUCCCCAUCCAUUGCCUGACAAACUAGAGUGCCUCCACUGGAUAACAGAAGGAAAGCACUAAUCCCACUGCUACUACUACAGCUGAUGCAUGACCUCAGCUAUCACCAUUGUUUGAGGCUAACCAGGAGGUCCUGAGUCUGUUCAUGUGACCAGUUCAUUACUACUACAACUGGCAUUUGAGAAAGCCACCAUGCUAAGGCUAUCUAUAACCAAGGAAUCUCACAGAAUCUAUGUCGCUCUCCUGCCAUCCCAAUCAGAGUGGGUGCUGGUACUUGCUGCUAGGAGACUUGGGGACAGGACACAUACAUAUCACUGGAUCCCUUAUAGACAUUCCCCAGCUCCAGGCUGGAGUGUGGCAGCCCCACUAUGCAGCUAGACCCAGAGGAGUAGUAGCAUUCACAGUAGUUUGGCUCUCAGGGACUUCUAUUCCUAAGGAAAGGAGUAGUGCACCAUAUCAAGGGUACAAUCCAAGGGUCAAAAGAAUCCAGUCAGUAGGACUCAAGCCCCAGAUCUUUCCACUGGUUAGAAGUUUUCUUCAGCAGAGGCACAGUUGCUGUGCUGGGCUCAGCAGGGAAAGGCUGCAGCUCUAGCUCAACAGACAGGCAGACCUGGUACUCAUGAAAGGUCUUGGACCUUUUUUCCCUGCUUUUUCCCCCUCAUCCACCACUGCAGAAACAACUGGUGCUUCUACUACAGAAGCUCAGCGUGUGUGUACCUAUAGGCAGCCUUUCUGGAACACUGCCUUCCCACAGAUGGAGUAUUCUCCAGGUUCCAGCUUACAGAAGAGAUACAAACAUAAUUCCUCUCUACUUGGAACAUCAACACUCCUGCAGAUAAAAAAAGGAAAAUAUUUGAUCUGAAGUUGGUUGAAUCAGAAGACGCCAAACCGGCAGAUAUGGAGGACCAACAGUGUAUGCUUAAUUGUUUAUGUUGGUUUCAAGAACCCUUUCAUAUAGGAUUAAUGCUUCCUGAUGAUCAUUAUACUAGGUGCUAAGAUGUUGACAUGUGCAGAAGACCAGUUAUGAUAUUUCCUAGUUUGUUCACCAAAAUAAUUCAGUCUACAUCCAUUUGUUGCCUAUCAAUGACAGACUGGAUAAAGAAAAUGUAGUAUAUAUACACCCCGGAAUACCAGGCAGCCAUAAACAAGAACAAGAUCACGUCUUUUGUGGGAACAUGGAUGGAGCUGGAGGCUGUUAUCCUUAGCAAACUAACGCAGGAACAGAAAACCAAAUACCACAUAUUCUCAGUUACAAGUGGGAGUUAAAUAAUAACAACUUAUGAACACAAAUAAGGAGACAACAGACACUGCGAUGUACUUGAGGGUGGAGGGUAGGAGGAGGAAAAGGAGCAGAAAAGAUAAGUAUCAGGUACUGGGCUUAACACCUGAGUGAUGAAAUAGCAUGUACAACAAACCCCCAUGACACGUUUACCUAUGUAACAAACCUUCACAGGUACCCCCAAACCUAAAAUAAAAGUUAGAAAACAAAAAAAAAACUUGCCUUGAUUUCUGUCAGGUUUCUAAAUUUUCUGGAUCCAGACAAAGAUAUAUUAAUUUGUUUUAUACUCAUUUGUUUUCUUCUUUAAUGAUAUUUAUUCAAUUGAAAAGUGUGUACUAUUAUUACCUAAAACCAUUAAAAUUUAGUGAGAGGUUAAGGGAAUGCCAUAAUUAAUGUUUAAUAGUUGUCAGAAUACAAAAUUAUUUUAACAGCUUUGUUGAGGUGUAAUUAACAUACAAUAAACUGCAUACUGAAGAUAUAUAAUUUGAUAAGUUUCAAUGUGCAUACAUACUCAUCAUAAUCACCAUAAUAAAUACAUUAUAUAUAUAUGCAUCACUCCAAAAAGUUUUCACAUGUCCCUUUGUAAUACCUCCCUCUUCUCCUCCCCUCAACAAUCACGCUACUGGUUUGUGUCUUUUUGUAGAAUUUAAAUACAUGAAAUUGUUCAUGCAGUGUGAUACUUUUUUUAAAUCUUAAAUCUUUUCUCAGAAUAAUUCUUUUGAGACUCAUUCGUGUAGUGGAAUGUACCAAAUGUAUUAUUUUUUAUUGUAGAGUGGAAUUUAUUGUAUGCAUAUAUCAUAAUGUGUUUUCAUAUUUAUCUGUUGAUGAAAAGUUGACUUGUUUUUAAUUUUUGCUAUCACAAGUAAAACUUCUGAACACAUUUGUGUAUGAGUCUGUAUGUAGGCACAUACUUUCAUUUUAUUUGGUACUAACACCAAGGAGUAGAAUAAUUGGAUCUUAUGGUAGGUUUAUAUUUAACUUUUUAGAAAACUGCCACAUUAUUUUCCAAAGUUGUUGUUUUUUUUCACAUUCUCAACACCAAUGCAUGAAGAGUUCCAGUUACUCUACAUCCUCAUUAAUAGUUGGUAUGGUCACAUAUUUAAAUUUUUGCUCUUUUUAUAGAUCAGUGGUAAUAUCUCAUCAGUUUUAAUUUGCAUGUCACUUAUAAUUAAUAAUGUUAAGAAUAUUUUCAUGUGCUUAUUUGCCAUCCAUAUAUCUUCCUGGGUAUUGGUUGUCUGUUUUCUUAUUAUUGUAAAUUUUGAGAGUGUAUUAUAUAUUCAGAAUACACAUCCAUUAUCAAAUAUGUGAUUAACAAGUAUUUUCUCCAAGUCUAGGGUUUGUAUUUUCAUUCUCUUAACAGUGUCUUUGAAAUACCAAAAGUUAUUAAUUUUGAUGAAGUCUGAUUUACCAAUACUUUAUUUAGUAGAUCAUGCUUUGGUGUCAUAUCUAAGAUACCUGAAUAAUAUCGAAUUAUCUGACUGAUGAAAAUUAUAUGUCUCUCUUUACUAAGAUAUUUUGUAAAAAUUUCUCUCAGCAAUAUUUUAUCGUUUUUCAGUCUAAAAGUCUUCCAUUUGUUUUGCCAGAUUUAUCUCAAAUAUUUCAUAUAUUUUAAUUCUUUUAAUGAAUAUCAAUUAAAUAUCAACAUCUGAUUACCCAUUAUUAGUAUACAGAAGCACAACUGAUUUUACGUAUUGCCCUUGUAUUCUGAAAUUCUGCUAAACUCUCAUUACCAGCUUUUCUGUAGAUUCCACUGGAUUUUCUAUAUAAAUCAUCAUGUAUCUGUGAAUAAAGACCAAAUUAUUUAUUCUUUUAAUUACUUAUUUUCAAUAUGGAUGCAGUUAAUUUUGUUUUCGUGCCUGAUUGCACUGGCUAGCACUUGUAAUACACUGUUGAAUAGAAUUGGUGAGAGUGGACAUCCUUGCCUUGUUCUUGAUUUAAGGGGGAAAACAAUUAUCAUUUAAAAGAGGCUUUCAUUAUUAAACAUGAUGUUACCUACAGACUUUCUUUGAAUGUCUUUUGUAGUUUGAGAAGUAUCAUUCUAUUUCUAGUUUUCUAAGAAUUUUUGUCAGGAAUGGAUGUUAGAAUUUGUCAAAUAUAUUUUCUGCAUCUAUUGAGAUUAUCAUGUGUCUAUUUUAUUUAGUUUGUUAAUAUGGUCAAUAUUAUUGAUUAAUUUUUAAAUAAUAAACUAAGUUAUGCAUCAUUCCUGCAAUAAAUUCCACUUGGUCCUGGUAUUCUAUUCUUUCAUAUAUUGUUGGAUUCACUUUGCUAAAAUUUUCUUAAGAAUUUCUGUAUGUGUUCAUGAAGGAUAGUCAUUUAUAGUUUUCUUUUCGUAACAUGUCCUUGUCCAAUUUUUGUAAUAGUGUAAGACUUUCCUGAUAACAUAAGUUUGCAAAUAUUCCUUCGUCACACAUUUUCUGGAAGAGUUUGUUUAAAAUUCAUAUAGUAUUUUCCCGAAAUGUUUGGUAGAAUUCACCAUGGGAGUCAUCUUGGUCUGGUGUUUUUUUUGUUAUUAGAAGGUUUUUUUUUUUAUUUUUUUUCACUGCAAAAGUAACUUAUUUAACAGAUAUAGGGUUAUUAAAGCAAUCUAAUUCCAUUUGAGUAAACUAUCAUUUACUUUGGUAGUUUAUGCAUUGCAAUGCAUGCUCGUUUUGCCUAAAUUGUCAAUUUUAUUAGCAUAACAUUAUUCAUAAUGUUAUCCUGUUAAUGUCUUUAAAUCUAUAAUGUCUCCUUUCAUGUUCCUACAGCAGCUAACUUAUACUUUCUCUCUUAUUUUUUCUGAUCGGUCUGGCUCUGGAAUUUUGUCAAGUUUGUUGAUAUCAUCAAAUAAUUAACUUUGAUCCAUUCAUUGUUUUUUCUUUUUUCUCUUUUCUGUUUCAUUUGUUUCCACCUCAAGCUUUUGCCCCAAAUUCUUAUGUUUCUUUUGGUCUGUAUUUGCUCUCACUUUCUAGUUCUUAAGGAGAAAAAAGUGAAGUCGCUAAUUUCAGACGUUUCUUCUUUAUUAGGCAUUUAUGUUUAUAUAUUGUCUAAUAAAUAUGGCUAUAG
rnacentral:lncRNA from 10 species